rnacentral:rRNA from 16 species
GGCCAAGUUUUUAAGGGCGCACGGUGGAUGCCUUGGCACCAGGAACCGAUGAAGGACGUGGGAGGCCACGAUAGUCCCCGGGGAGCCGUCAACCAGGCUUUGAUCCGGGGGUUUCCGAAUGGGGAAACCCGGCAGUCGUCAUGGGCUGUCACCCGCUGCUGAACACAUAGGCAGUGUGGAGGGAACGCGGGGAAGUGAAACAUCUCAGUACCCGCAGGAAGAGAAAACAACCGUGAUUCCGGGAGUAGUGGCGAGCGAAACCGGAUGAGGCCAAACCGUAUACGUGUGAGACCCGGCAGGGGUUGCGUGUGCGGGGUUGUGGGAUCUCUCUUUCACAGUCUGCCGGCUGUGAGGCGAGUCAGAAACCGUUGAUGUAGGCGAAGGACAUGCGAAAGGUCCGGCGUAGAGGGUAAGACCCCCGUAGUCGAAACAUCAGCGGCUCGUUUGAGAGACACCCAAGUAGCACGGGGCCCGAGAAAUCCCGUGUGAAUCUGGCGGGACCACCCGCUAAGCCUAAAUAUUCCCUGGUGACCGAUAGCGGAUAGUACCGUGAGGGAAUGGUGAAAAGUACCGCGGGAGCGGAGUGAAAUAGUACCUGAAACCGUGUGCCUACAAGCCGUGGGAGCGUCGGACAUCAAGCUUGCUUGGUGUCUCGUGACUGCGUGCCUUUUGAAGAAUGAGCCUGCGAGUUUGCGGUGUGUUGCGAGGUUAACCCGAGUGGGGAAGCCGUAGCGAAAGCGAGUCCGAAUAGGGCGUUUCAGUAGCACGCUCAAGACCCGAAGCGGAGUGAUCUAGCCAUGGGCAGGUUGAAGCGGAGGUAAGACUUCGUGGAGGACCGAACCCACCAGGGUUGAAAACCUGGGGGAUGACCUGUGGUUAGGGGUGAAAGGCCAAUCAAACUCCGUGAUAGCUGGUUCUCCCCGAAAUGCAUUUAGGUGCAGCGUCGUGUGUUUCUUGCCGGAGGUAGAGCACUGGAUAGGCGAUGGGCCCUACCGGGUUACUGACCUUAGCCAAACUCCGAAUGCCGGUAAGUGAGAGCGCGGCAGUGAGACUGUGGGGGAUAAGCUCCAUGGUCGAGAGGGAAACAGCCCAGAGCAUCGACUAAGGCCCCUAAGCGUACGCUAAGUGGGAAAGGAUGUGGAGUCGCACAGACAACCAGGAGGUUGGCUUAGAAGCAGCCACCCUUGAAAGAGUGCGUAAUAGCUCACUGGUCUAGUGAUUCCGCGCCGACAAUGUAGCGGGGCUCAAGCGUACCGCCGAAGUCGUGUCAUUCAUACAUUAGGGCCAACGCCUGUAUGGAUGGGUAGGGGAGCGUCGUGUGCCGGGUGAAGCAGCCGCGGAAGCGAGUUGUGGACGGUUCACGAGUGAGAAUGCAGGCAUGAGUAGCGAUACAAACGUGAGAAACGUUUGCGCCGAUUGACUAAGGGUUCCUGGGUCAAGCUGAUCUGCCCAGGGUAAGUCGGGACCUAAGGCGAGGCCGACAGGCGUAGUCGAUGGAUAACCGGUUGAUAUUCCGGUACCCGCUGUGAAGCGUCAAACAUCGAGCAUCGUGAUGCUAAGGCCGUGAAGCCGCCCUGAUCUCUUCGGAGUUGAGGGGAGUGGUGGAGCCGCCGGACCAAGCGGUUAGUAGGUGAGUGAUGGGGUGACGCAGGAAGGUAGUCCAUCCCGGCGUGGUUGUCCCGGGGUAAGGUGUAGGCCGUGCGGUAGGUAAAUCCGUCGCACACAAGGCUGAGACCUGAUGCCGAGCCGAUUGUGGUGAAGUGGAUGAUCCUAUGCUGUCGAGAAAAGCCUCUAGCGAGUUUCAUGGCGGCCCGUACCCUAAACCGACUCAGGUGGUCAGGUAGAGAAUACCGAGGCGUUCGGGUGAACUAUGGUUAAGGAACUCGGCAAAAUGCCCCCGUAACUUCGGGAGAAGGGGGGCCACACCUGGUGAUGAUCUUUACGGUCUGAGCUGGGGGUGGCCGCAGAGACCAGCGAGAAGCGACUGUUUACUAAAAACACAGGUCCGUGCGAAGCCGUAAGGCGAUGUAUACGGACUGACGCCUGCCCGGUGCUGGAACGUUAAGGGGACCGGUUAGCUCCAUUUCGGUGGGGCGAAGCUGAGAACUUAAGCGCCAGUAAACGGCGGUGGUAACUAUAACCAUCCUAAGGUAGCGAAAUUCCUUGUCGGGUAAGUUCCGACCUGCACGAAUGGCGUAACGACUUCUCGACUGUCUCAACCAUAGGCCCGGUGAAAUUGCACUACGAGUAAAGAUGCUCGUUUCGCGCAGCAGGACGGAAAGACCCCGGGACCUUUACUACAGUUUGAUAUUGGUGUUCGGUUCGGCUUGUGUAGGAUAGCUGGGAGACUUUGAAGCUCGCACGCCAGUGUGGGUGGAGUCGUCGUUGAAAUACCAGUCUGGUCGUGCUGGAUGUCUAACCUGGGUCCGUGAUCCGGAUCAGGGACAGUGUCUGAUGGGUAGUUUAACUGGGGCGGUUGCCUCCUAAAGAGUAACGGAGGCGCCCAAAGGUUCCCUCAGCCUGGUUGGCAAUCAGGUGUUGAGUGUAAGUGCACAAGGGAGCUUGACUGUGAGACCGACGGGUCGAGCAGGGACGAAAGUCGGGACUAGUGAUCCGGCGGUGGCUUGUGGAAGCGCCGUCGCUCAACGGAUAAAAGGUACCCCGGGGAUAACAGGCUGAUCUUCCCCAAGAGUCCAUAUCGACGGGAUGGUUUGGCACCUCGAUGUCGGCUCGUCGCAUCCUGGGGCUGGAGUCGGUCCCAAGGGUUGGGCUGUUCGCCCAUUAAAGCGGUACGCGAGCUGGGUUUAGAACGUCGUGAGACAGUUCGGUCCCUAUCCGCUGUGCGCGUAGGAGUCUUGAGAAGGGCUGUCCCUAGUACGAGAGGACCGGGACGGACGAACCUCUGGUGUGCCAGUUGUCCUGCCAAGGGCAUGGCUGGUUGGCUACGUUCGGGAGGGAUAACCGCUGAAAGCAUCUAAGCGGGAAGCCUGCUUCGAGAUGAGGACUCCCACCCCCUUGAGGGGUUAAGGCUCCCAGUAGACGACUGGGUUGAUAGGCCGGAUCUGGAAGCACCGCAAGGUGUGGAGGUGACCGGUACUAAUAGGCCGAGGGCUUGUCCUC